UGGGGUCUGGGCUCAGUGGUAGAGCGCUUGCCUCACAUGUGUGAGGUACAUUUCUCAGCACUGCAUAUAAAUAAAUGAGAAAAAUAAACGUCCAUCAACAACUAAAAAAUUUUUUUUAACUAAAAUAAAAUCAGCAAAUAGAAAAAAAAAAAAAAAACUCCAUGGAAGCAGGGCGUGCUGGUGCACACCUGUAAUCCCAG
rnacentral:tRNA from 1 species